GGAGAGGAGGUUCUUCCCUUCCCUACCCUUCCUUCUCCUCUCUUGUCUCUCUUCUUCCUUCCCCUCCCCAUUCUCCAUCCCAUUUCCUUUUCUUUUUCCCCAAAGAUUGCAUACAAGUAGAAUUCACUCUGGCAAGGAGGACAGCCACAGGUGAUUGUUCAUUGCCAGUCUUCAUUUCAGAAGUCCUUCACACAAGCUCAGGUGAUUUCCACUUUGCACAUUUUGACUUUAUGCCUAAAUGCUAUCAGAACUGCUGUGUAGCUCAUGCUGGACAGAAUACUAACACCUACAUGAAAGACAAGCAGUGUGCAUAACCUGUCUUCAGGGAAGCCUAAAUCUAAGCCCUCUCACUACAGGGAUGCUGUCAUCCUGCACCAAGAGACUGUGAGAAUAGAAGUAUGGUGGGAGCAUUGGGUCUGGGCAGCAGGACCAG